AUACCAUUCAGUAAUAAAAUUAUCCUAGUGUUUAAACAAGAAGUUUAGUUGCAUACAUACUUGACCAGUAUAUCACACUAGAUUUUCUUGUUAAGUAAUUCAAAUUUUAUAGCACUUAAAUAAAUUUUUCAACUCUACAAUCUUAGAUAAACAUGACAUAUUGGUAACUAUCAUAUUUUGUGUUGCUUCCAAGUACUUAAUUUGUUCAAUAAUAGAAAGUGCUGUAGUUAUGGUUACUAUUUCAUAAUUCAACAAAAAAUAUUAGACACAAAUUUGGAAAGACAUUUUAGUACCUAACUAUCAUAAUAUAAUUAUCUUUUUAUGUAUGUAAAUUACUUAAUAGUUUUCUGAGCGAAAUACUACCUCGGGCUCAGAAUUAUCAGUCGUAUCGCAUCACUACUAGGCCCAGCAAAUCAUCAAAACAUCUCGCGCGUCAGAGAAAACAAAAUUUAAGAAAUUUUUAUACAAAUAUACGCCAAUCAUCUGUAUAAGCAUUGGUAUAAGGUACUGUACAAUAAAUACUUACUCGAA
rnacentral:lncRNA from 1 species